UACGUAGGGGGGCAAGCGUUGUCCGGAUUUAUUGGGCGUAAAGAGCUCGUAGGUGGUUUGGUAAGUCGGAUGUGAAAAUCUCCAGGCUCAACCUGGAGGGGUCAUUCGAUACUGCCAUACUAGAGGUCGGUAGGGGAGUGGUGGAAUUCCUGGUGGAGCGGUGAAUGCGCAGAAUAUCAGGAGGACACCCGUAGCGAAGGCGGACACCGUCUGG
rnacentral:rRNA from 1 species